GAGGCGCCUCUAUCUCCCAAUCUGAACCUCCGCGUGGAAUCCCCAACGUUUCAACAUUAAAUGCUCACCGAAGUUCAUUCUAGAUUUAACCCCUAAAUUGGGAACAUUAUGAAGACAUUUGCAUGCGACGAUGGGAUCGACCUCGAGUGGCUUAGCUCGGAUUACUCAAAGUUCUAAGGAUAAACUUUGAGCACCCAUUUGGUACCUUUGAGCUUUGGUGUGCAGGUUAGGAUGCGAUUUCAGUAGAGUGACGGUGUCAAUUUUUUCUCCUCCUUCCAAUGAUUGGAUGUCUCUUAUAUAGAGUGAAAAUGGGUGGUCCUUGAAUCAUGAGCUGGAAGAGGUGAAAGGAAUCAUUCCGUUAGAGUAAGAUUUCCUUCUGGAUUGUGUCUGGACCAGCGUGACCGCGACCUUUUGUCUGUAGUGUCCUUUGAAGCAUAUGCUUUUUAAGUGAACCAACCUUGGAUGCUCAUGAAAGACAUGGAUUCUUAACAGUGCCAAUCUAUGCUUUACCUCUCACACAAAUCCAAGCACCCUUGCUGUGAGGUCGUGAUUUAGACUUUUCUUCUCUUUUUGAUGCCAUGGAACAUAUGCCAAUAUGUGCCUCUGUGUGAUUCUGCUAGGUUGUAUGACAAAUGCUUUUGUUUUGGUGUAAGCGAGAAGAUGAUUUGAAAGAGAGUUGCAAACUUGGGAAUAGCUCCAAUGCAAGAUUGAGGUCGUUACUAUGUAUCGCUGAAUUGUGGUUAACGACAACGUUGCAUUUGGCGUGGAACUUAUUGCAGCUUUUCUAUUGUGAUAUCCCCUUGUUUAUGCUGGUUUUAUUUGUUUUGGAAUUGUUGUGACAUGUGUGUGUCCGUUUUAAGCUUCGACUCUUUCAAUUGUGGAUUCAACUCUUGCAUAUUUAGUGUUUCUGCACGUCACUUAACUGAUGUGAUGAUGAUAUUUGACUCCACGGCUGUUUCAACUGUUAUGAAUUUGAUUCAACCUCACUGGCUUUGCUUUGUCUAAUGGACUUGAUCAUGAUAGCUUUCCACUGAUGUACUUUGAAAUCUUGUGAAUACUGGUGCAGGUACAUGGAACUUUGAUACAGGAUUUCCGAGUCUUGGCUUUCGUUUCAAUGAGGUGAUAUGUAUUGUCUUGUCAUCGGUUCACAUAACGGAGAUCCAAAUCAGAGGAUUGACCGUGGAAAGAUCCAGUUCCAGUCUUGGCCAAAAAUGUAUCCUUUGGAGUUUCUAAAGAAUGUGUGUCCUACUAGUUUACAUCAGCGGUUACCACCUGUUUCGACCUGUCUCCAUUGCAAGGCACUCUCAGCCUAAUCAAUAAUGUUUCUAAAAGUUAUCCAUAACAGUAUCCUCUGGCAAGGCAUGUUCAUAGCUUUUACAUGAAUCUAGGAGUUUCUCAUUCCCUUCUCUGUAACUGAUAGCUGAAACGUAUGACAAGAUAUAUGCUCCCACUGUCUCACAUCUGCCACACCAAUGUACUUGUUACAUCUUUUUCCCGCCAGCGCUUCCAUUUUUCGGUCCUUUUUGAUGGAAGAAAAAUAGAAAUUGCAUGAAGUUGCAGCGAGAUUUAUUGCUCAGGUUCUGUUUGGAUAUUUAGCUAAUGUGUGAGCUGAUUUGUGAGUUGUUAUACCUAUCGUGGCAGUAGUGGUUUGUGUAGUUUAUGGAUUUGUUUGAUCAAAGUUGGAUGGUUUGUGACUGACUUGGCCUAGGUGGUGAUACUGUUAAUGGACUGUGGAUUUUGGUGGUUUUCAGGUCCAUCACAUUACAGGUCAUGGCGUUGCUAUACCUCUUCGAAUGUUCCGUCUUGUGCCACUCUAUCGUGGUCCUAAGCUCGGAACACUACCUGGUUGCAGUAUGCUUAUCAGGACAUGUCUCGCAAAUUCUUGGAAUUACUUGAAGAAGAGAGUGUAAUGAGUUGUAUUGCUUAGCUGCCAUUCUAUUCCAAUGCUUGAAUAACUUCUCUUGUAAUGCCAACAUGUCCUUAGAUCAUAGGCUAGGACUUUUGUAAACCAUGAAGUUUAACAAUACAAAUUGUAAAUCUAUGCCUGUAUUAAUAAAACUUAGGAACAUCAUGCCCAUCAAAGCAUGGUCUUGUAAAUCCAAGUUAAUGGUCUUUAUGCAAA